UACAGAGGGGGCAAGCGUUUGUUCGGAAUUACUGGGCGUAAAGGGCGCGUAGGCGGCCUGUUAAGUCGAACGUGAAAUCCCCGGGCUCAACCCGGGAACUGCGUCCGAUACUGGCAGGCUUGAAUUCGGGAGAGGGAUGUGGAAUUCCAGGUGUAGCGGUGAAAUGCGUAGAUAUCUGGAGGAACACCGGUGGCGAAGGCGGCAUCCUGGACCGAUAUUGACGCUGAUGCGCGAAAGCCAGGGGAGCAAAACGGGG
rnacentral:rRNA from 1 species